rnacentral:misc_RNA from 1 species
GAUGAAGAACGUAGUGAAAUGCGAUACGUAGUGUGAAUUGCAGAAUUCAGUGAAUCAUCGAAUCUUUGAACGCACAUUGCACCUCUCGGUAUUCCGGGAGGUAUGCCUGUUCGAGCGUCAUUUGUAUCCUCAAGCUCUGCUUGGUGUUGGGUGUUUGUUCCGCCUCUGUGUGUGAACUCGCCUCAAAACAAUUGGCAGCCGGCGUACUUGUUUCGGAGCGCAGCACAUUUUGCGAUCCAGAUCAACGUACAGCGGCAUCCAAGAAGCCUUAUUUAACGCUCUUGACCUCGGAUCAGGUAGGGAUACCCGCUGAACUUAAGCAUAUCAAUAAGCGGAGGA